CGAACGGCAGCGAGGAGAAGCUUGCUUCUCUGUCGGCGAGUGGCGAACGGGUGAGUAUAGCAUCGGAACGUGCCAAGUAGUGGGGGAUAACCAAACGAAAGUUUGGCUAAUACCGCGUAAGCUCCAAGGAGGAAAGUAGGGGACCUAAAUAAGGCCUUACGCUAUUUGAUCGGCCGAUGUCGGAUUAGCUAGUUGGUGGGGUAAUGGCUCACCAAGGCAAUGAUCCGUAGCGGGUCUGAGAGGACGAUCCGCCACACUGGGACUGAGACACGGCCCAGACUCCUACGGGAGGCAGCAGUGGGGAAUUUUGGACAAUGGGGGAAACCCUGAUCCAGCCAUGCCGCGUGUAUGAAGAAGGCCUUAGGGUUGUAAAGUACUUUUGUUAGGGAAGAGAAGCUAGUUUUUAAUAAAAAUUAGUGAUGACGGUACCUAAAGAAUAAGCACCGGCUAACUACGUGCCAGCAGCCGCGGUAAUACGUAGGGUGCAAGCGUUAAUCGGAAUUAUUGGGCGUAAAGCGAGUGCAGACGGUUACUUAAGCCAGAUGUGAAAUCCCCAAGCUUAACUUGGGACGUGCAUUUGGAACUGGGUGACUAGAGUGUGUCAGAGGGAGGUAGAAUUCCACAUGUAGCGGUGGAAUGCGUAGAGAUGUGGAGGAAUACCGAUGGCGAAGGCAGCCUCCUGGGAUAACACU
rnacentral:rRNA from 1 species